GAAUAUUAAGAAGCGAGCCUUCUCCUUAGUAGGAUUCGUCAUUCACAAAUUCUCCACGGAUUGUGUUGAAUUUAACAUAUCAUUGUGAGCGAGCUCAAUGGCAGUCUUUCGUGGAAGGUGUGAGGUACUGAUGAGACAUCCAGAAUGUGCAGCAUUCUGAGGGUACUCCAGGAUCAGGAGCCACUGUGCUAAUCCAUGGAUGCUAAACAACAGCUGAAAUAAUGUGAAUGUUUCUGGAACUGUACAGCUCACAUGAAUAUUUAAAGAGGU